rnacentral:rRNA from 1 species
AGAGUUUGAUCCUGGCUCAGGAUGAACGCUAGCGGCAAGCUUAAUACAUGCAAGUCGAGGGGCAGCAGGUUUGUAGCAAUACAGAUGCUGGCGACCGGCAAACGGGUGCGGAACACGUACAGAACCUUCCUUUAAGUGGGGAAUAGCCCAGGGAAACUUGGAUUAAUACCCCGUAAUAUAUAGAAGUGGCAUCACUUUUAUAUUAUAGCUCCGGCGCUUGAAGAUGGCUGUGCGGCUGAUUAGGUAGUUGGCGGGGUAACGGCCCACCAAGCCUGCGAUCAGUAACUGGUGUGAGAGCACGACCAGUCACACGGGCACUGAGACACGGGCCCGACUCCUACGGGAGGCAGCAGUAAGGAAUAUUGGGCAAUGGACGCAAGUCUGACCCAGCUAUGCCGCGUGGAGGAUGAAGGUCCUCUGGAUUGUAAACUUCUUUUAUCUGGGAAGAAACCUAUUUUUUCUAAAAUAGCUGACGGUACCAGG